UGUGGGAGCGAGCCUGCUCGCGAUGGCUUCGGGUCAGCCAGCGCCGAUGUGACUGAGCUGACGCAAUCGCGAGCAGGUUCGCUCCCACA
rnacentral:misc_RNA from 1 species